GAACGCCCCGCAAGGGGAGUGGCAGACGGGUGAGUAACGCGUGGGAACGUACCUUUUGGUUCGGAACAACACAGGGAAACUUGUGCUAAUACCGGAUAAGCCCUUACGGGGAAAGAUUUAUCGCCGAAAGAUCGGCCCGCGUCUGAUUAGCUAGUUGGUGAGGUAACGGCUCACCAAGGCGACGAUCAGUAGCUGGUCUGAGAGGAUGAUCAGCCACAUUGGGACUGAGACACGGCCCAAACUCCUACGGGAGGCAGCAGUGGGGAAUAUUGGACAAUGGGCGCAAGCCUGAUCCAGCCAUGCCGCGUGAGUGAUGAAGGCCCUAGGGUUGUAAAGCUCUUUUGUGCGGGAAGAUAAUGACGGUACCGCAAGAAUAAGCCCCGGCUAACUUCGUG
rnacentral:rRNA from 1 species